rnacentral:rRNA from 1 species
UACGUAGGGGGCUAGCGUUGUCCGGAAUCAUUGGGCGUAAAGCGCGCGUAGGCGGCCCGGUAAGUCCGCUGUAAAAGUCCAGGGCUCAACCCUGGAACGCCGGUGGAUACUGUCGGGCUAGAGUCCGGAAGAGGCGAGUGGAAUUCCUGGUGUAGCGGUGAAAUGCGCAGAUAUCAGGAAGAACACCCGUGGCGAAGGCGGCUCUCUGGGACGGUACUGACGCUGAGACGCGAAAGCGUGGGGAGCGAACAGG